rnacentral:rRNA from 1 species
AGGACGAACGCUGGCGGCGUGCUUAACACAUGCAAGUCGAGCGGAAAGGCCCUUCGGGGUACUCGAGCGGCGAACGGGUGAGUAACACGUGAGUAAUCUGCCCCUAGCUCUGGGAUAGCUCCGGGAAACCGGGAUUAAUACCAGAUACGACCACUUUAGACAUCUGUUGUGGUGGAAAGAAUUUUGGCUAGGGAUGAGCUCGCGGCCUAUCAGCUUGUGGUGAGGUAACGGCUCACCAAGCGACGACGGGUAGCCGGCCUGAGAGGACGAUCAGCCACACUGGGAUUGAGAACGGCCCAGACUCCUACGGGGGCAGCAGUGAGGAAUUUUCGUCAAUGGGGGCAACCCUGAACGAGCAACGCCGCGUGCAGGAAGAAGGUUUUCGGAUCGUAAACUGCUUUUCUCGGGGAAGAGAACGGACGGUACCCGAGGAAUCGAGCCCCGGCUAACUACGUGCCAGCAGCCGC